UAGUCCAUGCCGUAAACGUUGGGCACUAGGUGUGGGGUCUAUUCAACGGACUCCGUGCCGCAGCUAACGCAUUAAGUGCCCCGCCUGGGGAGUACGGUCGCAAGAUUAAAACUCAAAGAAAUUGACGGGGGCCCGCACAAGCGGUGGAGCAUGUGGUUUAAUUCGAAGCAACGCGCAGAACCUUACCUACCCUUGACAUGCCGGUCGCGAUUUCCAGAGAUGGAUUUCUUCAAUUCGGUUGGACCGUGCACAGGUGCUGCAUGGCCGUCGUCAGCUCGUGUCGUGAGAUGUUGGGUUAAGUCCCGCAACGAGCGCAACCCUCACUUUUAGUUGCCAGCAUUUAGUUGGGCACUCUAGAAGAACUGCCGGUGCUAAGCCGGAGGAAGGUGGGGAUGACGUCAAGUCCUCAUGGCCCUUACGGGUAGGGCUACACACGUGCUACAAUGGCGCUGACAGAGGGUUAAUCCCUAAAAGGCGUCUCAGUUCGGAUUGUCCUCUGCAACUCGAGGGCA
rnacentral:rRNA from 1 species